rnacentral:rRNA from 1 species
GUGGAUUAGAUACCCUGGUAGUCCACGCCGUAAACGAUGGGUACUAGGUGUGGGGGGUGUCGACUCCCUCCGUGCCGAAGCUAACGCAUUAAGUACCCCGCCUGGGGAGUACGGCCGCAAGGCUAAAACUCAAAGGAAUUGACGGGGGCCCGCACAAGCAGCGGAGCAUGUGGUUUAAUUCGAAGCAACGCGAAGAACCUUACCUGGGCUUGACAUGUGCCUGACCGCCGUGGAAACACGGCUUCCCUUCGGGGCAGGUUCACAGGUGGUGCACGGCUGUCGACAGCU